rnacentral:lncRNA from 1 species
AGUUCAACAAAUUAAAGAAGGGCAUUCCUACCAGAUGCUCAAGGAAGGGGAUUGUCAGGAGGUGAGACUGGAAAAGUCAAAGCCACAUUUGGAAGGACCUUGCAAGCUAGGCUAAACACAGAACUGUCUCUGGAGGCGAUCAAUGCAAAACCAAGGAAGGUUGUUAAAGCAGAAUUUGAAGACGGUGACCUUGAAGGCUCUGUGGAAGCAGACUGGAGGAAGAUGAAGCUGGAGGCAAAGAGGCUCCUAAGGAGGAGGCACUGGUUCCCUUCUUCGUGCUUCGGGAGUGCAGCACGUGUCUUGCUAAUGGCACCGAUCAUGCCCGGUCCCUGUACCAAAAUCACCGGACACAAGCUCUGUGAGUAUGUCCACACCCAAUGCAGGGACUCCAGGAGGGCAGGAUGUAGACCUGAAG